rnacentral:misc_RNA from 1 species
CGGAAUGAAAAUUGCUUCGUUAGCACUCCAAGGGGAACAUCAGGAAAUCUAGAAUUUCCCAUUUCAAUGUUAGAGUUGAUGGUUUCAACAACCCAUAAAGAAUGCUGGAGCUUAGCUUUGUUGUAUGACGCCAUCAGGGGUACACAAUCUCCAGUCCAAAUGGUCCUUUCAUCAACUUCUUUGUUAAAGUUCAAUUUCCCCCUCUCCUCAAUAUAGGUUGGCUGAGGUUCUUCCAGAGGAUCCUUUAAUAUCAGAUGUGAGGACAUUGAAGACCCAUCUCCCCUGAUAGUAAAAUCUAAACCAUGUACAGCAGUAUAAUUCUGCUGAG